rnacentral:rRNA from 1 species
GAUGAACGCUGGCGGCGUGCCUAAUACAUGCAAGUCGAGCGAACGGACGAGCAGCUUGCUUCGCAGACAUUAGCGGCGGACGGGUGAGUAACACGUGGAUAACCUACCUAUAAGACUGGGAUAACUUCGGGAAACCGGAGCUAAUACCGGAUAAUAUUUUCAACCGCAUGUUUCAAUAGUGAAAGACGGUCUUGCUGUCACUUAUAGAUGGAUCCGCGCUGCAUUAGCUAGUUGGUAAGGUAACGGCUUACCAAGGCAACGAUGCAUAGCCGACCUGAGAGGGUGAUCGGCCACGCUGGAACUGAUACACGGUCCAGACUCCUACGGGAGGCAGCAGUAGGGAAUCUUCCGCGAUGGGCUAAAGCCUGACGGAGCAACGCCGCGUGAGUGAUGAAGGUCUUCGGAGCGUAAAACUCUGUUAUUAGGGUAGAACAUAUGUGUAAGCAACGGUGCACAUCUUGACGGUACCUAAUCAGAAAGCCACGGCUAACUACGUG